AUGGGUGGUAUUGCUGCUCACUUCCACCCCAUGCCAUGCACCUUGCAGUGCAGACCCAUGCAGCAUCACACUGCAGAUGGGCCAAACCCCAACCCCCCAUUUCUGCAUGUAUCCAUUCCCACCCCAGCAGCUUCUCAGGGCCUUGCAUGCACCAAGGCAUGCACUCUUAGCAUGCUGCAUUACCUGCACACCCAGAGGGCUGCAUUCCCUGCAUGCACUGACACACACGGUGCUGUCCAUGCACACAGGGCUGCAUGUCCCACAUGCACCAUAAGUGUGCACGGGUGGUAUUGCUGCUCACUUCCACCCCAUGCCAUGCACCUUGCAGUGCAGACCCAUGCAGCAUCACACUGCAGAUGGGCCAAACCCCCAACCCCGCAUUUCUUCAUGUCCCCAUUCCCACCCCAGCAGCUGCUCAGGGCUUUGCAUGCACCAAGGGAUGCACCCUUCGCAUGCUGCAUUACCUGCACACCCAGAGGGCUGCAUUCCCUGCAUGCACUGACACACAUGGUGCUGCAAUGCACACAGGGCUGCAUGUCCCACAUGCACCAUAAGUGUGCAUGGGUGGUAUUGCUGCUCACUUCCACCCCAUGCCAUGCACCUUGCAGCACAGACCCAUGCAGCAUCACACUGCAGAUGGGCCAAACCCCCAACCCCCCAUUUCUGCAUGUAUCCAUUCCCACCCCAGUAGCUGCUCAGGACUUUGCAUGCACCAAGGCAUGCACUCUUAGCAUGCUUCAUUACCUGCACACCCAGAGGGCUGCAUUCCCUGCAUGCACUGACACACACGAUGCUGUCCAUGCACACAGGGCUGCAUGUCCCACAUGCACCAUAAGCAUGCAUGGGUGCUAUUGCUGCUCACUUCCACUUCAUGCCAUGCACCUUGCAGCACAGACCCAUGCAGCAGCAUCACACUGCAGAUGGGCCAAACCCCCAACCCCCCAUUUCUGCAUGUCUCCAUUCGCACCCCAGCAGCUGCUCAGGGCCUUGCAUGCACCAAGGCAUGCACUCUUAGCAUGCUGCAUUACCUGCACACCCAGAGGGCUGCAUUCCCUGCAUGCACUGACACACACGGUGCUGUCCAUGCACACAGGGCUGCAUGUCCCACAUGCACCAUAA
rnacentral:lncRNA from 1 species